AACGUAGGUGGCGGAGCGUUAUCCGGAUUUACUGGGCGUAAAGCGUGUGCAGGCGGGGUGACAAGUGGUGUAUGAAAUCUCCGGGCUAAACCUGGAGGGGUUAUGCCAGACUGUCAUUCUAGAGUGCGAGAGAGGGGCGUGGAAUUCCGGGUGUAGUGGUGAAAUGCGUAGAGAUCGGGGAGGAACACCCGUGGCGAAGGCGGCCAUCUGGACCAGCACUGACGCUGAGGCACGGAAAGCGUGGGGAGCAAACAGG
rnacentral:rRNA from 1 species